rnacentral:lncRNA from 1 species
GCUCGAUGAUUUGUGCCAGAGGUUCGGCUUCCACCUACUUAGUGAAGUAGUCGAUGGCGACGACUAUGAACUUCCUCUGGCCUGAUGCCGGAGGGAAAGGACCGAGUAUGUCGAUCCCCCACUGGGCGAAAGGCCACGGGGCGACAAUAGGGGUGAUUUGGCUGGCUGGUUGGUGUUGUAUGUUGGCAUACCUCUGGCACGGCUCACACCUCUGAACUAGCUCAGCC